rfam:Verticillium dahliae VdLs.17 supercont1.37 genomic scaffold, whole genome shotgun sequence.
GGCGAGAUGGCAGAGUGGUCUAAUGCGAUAGACUAGAAAUCUAUUCACUUCGGUGGCGCAGGUUCAAAUCCUGCUCUCGUCG